UUCGGUGGUUGGGUGAUCGCCCUGCUGCCCCUCGGGACAGUGGGGAGGAAAGUCCGAACACCCCAUCGGUCGUAAGGCCGAUGGAAGGAGGUAGUCGCUAACAGCGACGGGGAUGAGGGAGAUCGUAUGGCGCGCAAGCGCACGACAAUCUCCCAGAGCCCACGGAGAGUCCUCCUAUCUUGGAGGGGAUCCCCGCGCGAGGUCGAGCAUCCGGCGCGCGUGGGGACCGCAACAGAAAAGAUACCGCCUAUGACGAUGCCUCGUGUGCAUAGGUAAGGGUGAAAUCGUGCGGCAAGAGCGCACGCGGGACUGCCCCGUGAGGGGCGUCGUGGCAAACACCUACCCGGUGCAAGGGGAAUGACCCCCGCAUCGAGCUGCGCAGUAAUGCGCAGCCCAGAGAGAUGAUCACCACCCGCAAGGGAAACAGAAUUCGGCUUACAGGCCACCGAACACC
rnacentral:RNase_P_RNA from 1 species